UCAAAACACGCCCCAGUGGGUCGUGGGAACUAAACGUUCGUCCCUUCUGCCGUCGCCAAACAGCAGCCCUGUUUCUCCCGGACGAUAACCGUCAUGAUCCCUACCACAGUUGUGAUUCCAUUUCUUACUGAUGGUCUCUUGGCAGGAGGAGAAUUAAGCAGCCAGAAGCAGCCAGAACUUACAGUGAAAAAAUAACACCUGCACUGUUAGCGCAUGCCGGGGACCCUGCAUCUGCCUUCAGCUAUCAUCAGUGUUUGAAGCGAUCCAGCAAGCCAGCAAGUAAUCAUUCGCAAAAUCCUACUGUAAAAUUUGCUUCCUAAGAUCAUCCCAAAUCUGGCACCGAUUAUUUAAAAAUCAGUUUCCUGGAAACAAACUAUGUUAUGGAAAAUACCAGACAAGAACUUUAUUGAAGAGCACUCUUAGGUGAUAUCUCUAAAGGGAAGUUAGGAAUGCAGGACUGGGUAGAAGGAGAAACCGUUAAAUCCUGUGUGAAGUUGUAAAGCGUGGAUGACCCUUCAGCAUUGACCCAAUGGAGGACAAGAGUCAGACUCUCUCCAGAAGCUGAAAGAUGGAUUUGUCACUUUUCAGGGCACCUGAACAGAACAGAACAUCACAGUACCACUAUAGUAGUGAUAUUUGUGCCUUUAUUUUGCAUUUCCAUAUUGUUUAUGAAUCUUGACACCUUAUUAGAAAUUUUAAUUGCAUUUUUAAGAUUGUAUAUAUGCUUAUUGGUUGUUUGCUUUAUCUAUCAGCCAUUUCAGAAGUGUAUAAAAGUAUUAAACUAUGUGGAUUUAUUA